CCGGCGAGGACCUGAGCUCCCCGGCCGCCGCCGCCUUCGCCUCCAAGAUGCAGAAGUGCCGGGGGGCGGUGGGGGCUCUGGAGGAGGUGAGCGGGGCUGGGGGGGAGGCUUGGGCUGCGCUUCCCCCUGGGGACACCCCCUGCGCCCCUAUCCCGAGCCCCGGGCGCCCUGUAGUGCUGGCCCCGCAGCGAGCACCCGCCUCUUUCCCUUGGGUUUCUAUUUACUGGGGUCCCCCCCCCUCGCCCCGAGCCCCCCGGGGACGCCGGCCCCGCUCGGUGCGGGGUUUGCGUCUCUCGCUGCAGCUCUCCCAGGUUUUCAUUUUUCGCUUCUGCCGAGGGCUCGGCCGCUGCCGUCGCCGAUGGCUUGUGGGAAAGAGGAACCCGGAAAGUUUUUCGGGGGGCUGCUGUUCGUGCCGCCCGUCUCCGAGCGCCUGGGGAUGUGGGACUGGUCCCCCCGGCGCUCGCCCUGAGCCGCUGCUUCGGGACCCUGCAGCCGGGGCGGCCGUUUCCAUCCUCCGCCCCACCGCGCGUUUUCUUGGGGCCAAGGCCUGCAGAAAUGGGCAAAACCUCGCCGUUCCAGCUGGUUUCGUUUCCAGCUCUGGGUGCUGCCCAGGGGCUGGCUCCGUCCCCAGGGCUGGGCUCAGCAUCGGCCCCGUGCCUCAGGGCUACGAGCCGCUGCGCCCUGAGGGCUCGAGGUGUCCCUGCGGGGGGGCUCCCGUUGCUAUUAAAGCUGGGGUGGGAUUUUUAGCCCCCCCAGCAGCAUGGAUGGGGCUCGAGCAGGGGUGGCGGGGUGCGCUUAUCCCUCUCUCCCCACUCCUGCCUCCAAUAGAGGCUGUUUCCAGCUGGUCCCUCGUCCUUUGCCAAUUUCUCUUAGCGAAGGAAUGGCUUUGAAGGGGAGCCAGAGCUCGUGGGGCCGGCGCGGGCCCCCUCGGAGCCCCGGGGGCAGCGGGAAGGGAGCCCCCCAGGCUGGAAACCCAGCACCCGAUGGUGCUGAGCAUCCCGGGCCCCGCCAGCACGUGCUCUCCCCUGGCUCUGGCUCUUUCUCUCGGCCGGGAAGGGGGAGGCAGCUCCAGGCAGGAGGAAGUGGCAGGAAUUUCGUUUGGCCGCUCGGCUUCCCUGGGGAGGCUGCGAUUUGG
rnacentral:lncRNA from 1 species